UACGUAACUCCUCAAAGGGCUGUGAAAUGUUGCCAUUAUCUACUCAUAUCACAGCCAUUUUGAUGAGUUUCGUG
rnacentral:pre_miRNA from 1 species